rnacentral:rRNA from 1 species
UACAGAAGUCCCGAGCGUUUGUUCGGAUUCAUUGGGCGUAAAGGGUGCGUAGGCGGUCUGCUAAGUUUGAUGUGAAAUCCCGGGGCUCAACCCUGGAAUGCAUUGAAUACUGGUGGACUAGAGUACUGGAGAGGAAACUGGAAUUUACGGUGUAGCAGUGAAAUGCGUAGAGAUCGUAAGGAAGACCAGUGGCGAAGGCGAGUUUCUGGACAGUAACUGACGCUGA